AGUGAACGCUGGCGGUAGGCCUAACACAUGCAAGUCGAACGGCAGCACAGUAAGAGCUUGCUCUUACGGGUGGCGAGUGGCGGACGGGUGAGGAAUACAUCGGAAUCUACUUUUUCGUGGGGGAUAACGUAGGGAAACUUACGCUAAUACCGCAUACGACCUACGGGUGAAAGCAGGGGAUCUUCGGACCUUGCGCGAUUGAAUGAGCCGAUGUCGGAUUAGCUAGUUGGCGGGGUAAAGGCCCACCAAGGCGACGAUCCGUAGCUGGUCUGAGAGGAUGAUCAGCCACACUGGAACUGAGACACGGUCCAGACUCCUACGGGAGGCAGCAGUGGGGAAUAUUGGACAAUGGGCGCAAGCCUGAUCCAGCCAUACCGCGCGGGUGAAGAAGGCCUUCGGGUUGUAAAUCCCUUUUGUUGGGAAAGAAAAGCAGCAGGUUAAUACCCCGCUGUUCUGACGGUACCCAAAGAAUAAGCACCGGCUAACUUCGUG
rnacentral:rRNA from 1 species